rnacentral:rRNA from 1 species
AGUGAACGCUGGCGGCAGGCCUAACACAUGCAAGUUGAACGGCAGCACAGUGAGAGCUUGUUUUUACGGGUGGUGAGUGGCGGACGGGUGAGGAACACAUCGGAAUCUACCCUUUCGUGGGGGAAAAAGUAGGGAAAAUCAUGCUAAUUACGCAUACGACCUUAGGGUGAAAGUAGGGGCACUUCGGAACUUGCGCGACUGUAUGAGCUGACUUCGGAUUAGCUAGUUGGCGGGGUAAAGGCCCACCAGGGCGACGAUCCGUAGCUGGUCUGAGAGGAUGAUCAGCCGCACUGGAACUGGGACACGGUCCAGACUCCGACGGGAGGCAGCGGUGAGGAAUAUUGGGCAAUGGGCACAAGCCUAAAUCAGCCAUACCACGAGGGUGAAGAGGACCUUCGGGGUGUAUAGCCCUUUUGUUGUGAGAGUGUAGCAUCAGGUUGUUACCCCACUGUUCUGACGGUACCCAAAGAAUAAGCUCCGGCUAACUUCGUG